rnacentral:rRNA from 1 species
AUUUACUGGGCGUAAAGCGCGCGUAGGUGGCCAAUUAAGUCAAAUGUGAAAUCCCCGAGCUUAACUUGGGAAUUGCAUUCGAUACUGGUUGGCUAGAGUAUGGGAGAGGAUGGUAGAAUUCCAGGUGUAGCGGUGAAAUGCGUAGAGAUCUGGAGGAAUACCGAUGGCGAAGGCAGCCAUCUGGCCUAAUACUGACACUGAGGUGCGAAAGCAUGGGGAGCAAACAGGAUUAGAUACCCUGGUAGUCCAUGCCGUAAACGAUGUCUACUAGCCGUUGGGGCCUUUGAGGCUUUAGUGGCGCAGCUAACGCGAUAAGUAGACCGCCUGGGGAGUACGGUCGCAAGACUAAAACUCAAAUGAAUUGACGAGGGCCCGCACAAGCGGUGGAGCAAUGUGGUUUAAUUCGAUGCAACGCGAAGAACCUUACCUGGUCUUGACAUAGUAAGAACUUUCCAGAGAUGGAGUGGUGCCUUCGGGAACUUACAUACAGGUGCUGCAUGGCUGUCGUCAGCUCGUGUCGUGAGAUGUUGGGUUAAGUCCC